rnacentral:ncRNA from 2 species
CUUCAUAGCAAGGGGAGCUUGCGGCGUGAGCACAGCAGGCUGAGAGGAGGCUUAAGGUCUCGACCCAUAACCUGAUUUGGAUAAUGCCAACGUAGGGAUGUGCAAGCGAAUUGUA